rnacentral:tRNA from 1 species
AUUAAGUUAAGUUAAGUUUAAACUGUUAGGUUGUGGUGCUAAAAAUAUUUUUUAUACUUGAUA